rnacentral:tRNA from 1 species
GGGGACGUGGUGGAAUUGGUAGACACGCAGGCUUCAGGAGCCUGUGGUAGCAAUACUGUGAGAGUUCAAAUCUCUCCGUCCCCA